GUCUAUGGCCAUGCCACCCUGAACAAGCUCAAUCCCAUCUGAUCUCAGAAACUAAGCAAGGUCGGGCCUGGUUAGUACUUGGAUGGGAGACCACCUAGGAAAACCAGAUGCUGUAGGUG
rnacentral:rRNA from 1 species